rnacentral:rRNA from 1 species
GACGAACGCUGGCGGCGUGCUUAACACAUGCAAGUCGAACGGAAAGGCCCAGCUUGCUGGGUGCUCGAGUGGCGAACGGGUGAGUAACACGUGGGUGAUCUGCCUCUAACUUCGGGAUAAGCUUGGGAAACUGGGUCUAAUACCGGAUAGGACAAUCGUUUAGUGUCGGUUGUGGAAAGUUUUUUCGGUUAGGGAUGAGCCCGCGGCCUAUCAGCUUGUUGGUGGGGUAAUGGCCUACCAAGGCGUCGACGGGUAGCCGGCCUGAGAGGGUGGACGGCCACAUUGGGACUGAGAUACGGCCCAGACUCCUACGGGAGGCAGCAGUGGGGGAAUAUUGCACAAUGGCGCAAGCCUGAUGCAGCGACGCCGCGUGGGGGAUGACGGCCUUCGGGUUGUAAACC